ACUACUUAACUGGACGCUUGUGCUACACUGGCCACAAUGCUAAGCACACAUUUACUGCGUUCACUCAACAGUCCUAGAUUGGAGUGCAGCAAAGAGACGUUCAUCCUCGGGAUGCGGCAUAAAUGACACAAGCUGGCAGUCAGCUGGAAGAUAAAGCAAAUGUAUGAGAGGUCAUCCAUUACUAGGGAGAUGAAAGAGAUCACUCCAGAAUUCCUCCAAGUGGAAUAGCUGGGUUCAAGAAUAUGUGCAUUGUAUGGCCAAAUUGCCCUCCAAAAAGGGGAAUCAAUUUACACUCCCAUUAGCAGCCAACUUGGGAGAGUGUAUUUUCCUACAUCUUUGCCAACAAUGAAUGAGAACACUGAGGGUCCAGAUGACAAGGAGCCUGCCCAAGGUGGCACAACAAGCAAGUGGCAGAGCCAGAGU